rnacentral:rRNA from 1 species
GGGUUGUGAGGUUAAGCGACUAAGCGUACACGGUGGAUGCCCUGGCAGUCAGAGGCGAUGAAGGACGUGCUAAUCUGCGAUAAGCGCCGGUAAGGUGAUAUGAACCGUUAUAACCGGCGAUUUCCGAAUGGGGAAACCCAGUGUGAUUCGUCACACUAUCAUUAACUGAAUCCAUAGGUUAAUGAGGCGAACCGGGGGAACUGAAACAUCUAAGUACCCCGAGGAAAAGAAAUCAACCGAGAUUCCCCCAGUAGCGGCGAGCGAACGGGGAGGAGCCCAGAGCCUGAAUCAGCAUGUGUGUUAGUGGAAGCGUCUGGAAAGGCGCGCGAUACAGGGUGACAGCCCCGUACACAAAAGCGCAUGUGCUGUGAGCUCGAUGAGUAGGGCGGGACACGUGGUAUCCUGUCUGAAUAUGGGGGGACCAUCCUCCAAGGCUAAAUACUCCUGACUGACCGAUAGUGAACCAGUACCGUGAGGGAAAGGCGAAAAGAACCCCGGCGAGGGGAGUGAAAAAGAACCUGAAACCGUGUACGUACAAGCAGUGGGAGCCCCACCACCAAAGCAUUCUCUGGUGUUGAAGGCCCUGCAAAGCAGCAUCGCGGUGGCGGAGCGUCGUUUGCGACGCCCAACACACAAAACAAGCUGUGAGUGCUUUGGGGUGGGGUGACUGCGUACCUUUUGUAUAAUGGGUCAGCGACUUAUAUUCUGUAGCAAGGUUAACCGAAUAGGGGAGCCGGAGGGAAACCGAGUCUUAAUUGGGCGUUAAGUUGCAGGGUAUAGACCCGAAACCCGGUGAUCUAGCCAUGGGCAGGUUGAAGGUUGGGUAACACUAACUGGAGGACCGAACCGACUAAUGUUGAAAAAUUAGCGGAUGACCUGUGGCUGGGGGUGAAAGGCCAAUCAAACCGGGAGAUAGCUGGUUCUCCCCGAAAGCUAUUUAGGUAGCGCCUCGUGAAUUCAUCUCCGGGGGUAGAGCACUGUUUCGGCUAGGGGGCCAUCCCGGCUUACCAACCCGAUGCAAACUGCGAAUACCGGAGAAUGUUAUCACGGGAGACACACGGCGGGUGCUAACGUCCGUCGUGAAGAGGGAAACAACCCAGACCGCCAGCUAAGGUCCCAAAGUCAUGGUUAAGUGGGAAACGAUGUGGGAAGGCCCAGACAGCCAGGAUGUUGGCUUAGAAGCAGCCAUCAUUUAAAGAAAGCGUAAUAGCUCACUGGUCGAGUCGGCCUGCGCGGAAGAUGUAACGGGGCUAAACCAUGCACCGAAGCUGCGGCAGCGACACUGUGUGUUGUUGGGUAGGGGAGCGUUCUGUAAGCCUGUGAAGGUGGCCUGUGAGGGUUGCUGGAGGUAUCAGAAGUGCGAAUGCUGACAUAAGUAACGAUAAAGCGGGUGAAAAGCCCGCUCGCCGGAAGACCAAGGGUUCCUGUCCAACGUUAAUCGGGGCAGGGUGAGUCGACCCCUAAGGCGAGGCCGAAAGGCGUAGUCGAUGGGAAACGGGUUAAUAUUCCCGUACUUGGUGUUACUGCGAAGGGGGGACGGAGAAGGCUAUGUUGGCCGGGCGACGGUUGUCCCGGUUUAAGCGUGUAGGUGUGUGUUCCAGGUAAAUCCGGUUCACUUUAACACUGAGGCGUGACGACGAGGCACUACGGUGCUGAAGCAACAAAUGCCCUGCUUCCAGGAAAAGCCUCUAAGCAUCAGGUAACAUCAAAUCGUACCCCAAACCGACACAGGUGGUCAGGUAGAGAAUACCAAGGCGCUUGAGAGAACUCGGGUGAAGGAACUAGGCAAAAUGGUGCCGUAACUUCGGGAGAAGGCACGCUGACACGUAGGUGAAGUGAUUUACUCACGGAGCUGAAGUCAGUCGAAGAUACCAGCUGGCUGCAACUGUUUAUUAAAAACACAGCACUGUGCAAACACGAAAGUGGACGUAUACGGUGUGACGCCUGCCCGGUGCCGGAAGGUUAAUUGAUGGGGUCAGCGCAAGCGAAGCUCCUGAUCGAAGCCCCGGUAAACGGCGGCCGUAACUAUAACGGUCCUAAGGUAGCGAAAUUCCUUGUCGGGUAAGUUCCGACCUGCACGAAUGGCGUAAUGAUGGCCAGGCUGUCUCCACCCGAGACUCAGUGAAAUUGAACUCGCUGUGAAGAUGCAGUGUACCCGCGGCAAGACGGAAAGACCCCGUGAACCUUUACUAUAGCUUGACACUGAACAUUGAGCCUUGAUGUGUAGGAUAGGUGGGAGGCUUUGAAGUGUGGACGCCAGUCUGCAUGGAGCCGACCUUGAAAUACCACCCUUUAAUGUUUGAUGUUCUAACGUGGACCCGUUACCCGGGUUGCGGACAGUGUCUGGUGGGUAGUUUGACUGGGGCGGUCUCCUCCUAAAGAGUAACGGAGGAGCACGAAGGUUGGCUAAUCCUGGUCGGACAUCAGGAGGUUAGUGCAAUGGCAUAAGCCAGCUUGACUGCGAGCGUGACGGCGCGAGCAGGUGCGAAAGCAGGUCAUAGUGAUCCGGUGGUUCUGAAUGGAAGGGCCAUCGCUCAACGGAUAAAAGGUACUCCGGGGAUAACAGGCUGAUACCGCCCAAGAGUUCAUAUCGACGGCGGUGUUUGGCACCUCGAUGUCGGCUCAUCACAUCCUGGGGCUGAAGUAGGUCCCAAGGGUAUGGCUGUUCGCCAUUUAAAGUGGUACGCGAGCUGGGUUUAGAACGUCGUGAGACAGUUCGGUCCCUAUCUGCCGUGGGCGCUGGAGAACUGAGGGGGGCUGCUCCUAGUACGAGAGGACCGGAGUGGACGCAUCACUGGUGUUCGGGUUGUCAUGCCAAUGGCACUGCCCGGUAGCUAAAUGCGGAAGAGAUAAGUGCUGAAAGCAUCUAAGCACGAAACUUGCCCCGAGAUGAGUUCUCCCUGAGACUUAAAGUCUCCUGAAGGAACGUUGAAGACGACGACGUUGAUAGGCCGGGUGUGUAAGCGCAGCGAUGCGUUGAGCUAACCGGUACUAAUGAACCGUGAGGCUUAACCUUACAACGCCGAAG